rnacentral:rRNA from 1 species
CAAGUCGAGCGAGAAAGCCCCUCGGGGUGAGUACAGCGGCGGACGGGUGAGUAACGCGUAGGAAUCUACCCAGUAGUGGGGGACAACUAGUGGAAACGCUAGCUAAUACCGCAUACGCCCUACGGGGGAAAGCGGGGGACCUUCGGGCCUCGUGCUAUUGGAUGAGCCUGCGUAAGAUUAGCUUGUUGGUGGGGUAAUGGCUCACCAAGGCGACGAUCUUUAGCUGGUCUGAGAGGAUGAUCAGCCACACCGGGACUGAGACACGGCCCGGACUCCUACGGGAGGCAGCAGUCGGGAAUAUUGCGCAAUGGGCGAAAGCCUGACGCAGCCAUGCCGCGUGUGUGAAGAAGGCCCUAGGGUUGUAAAGCACUUUCAAUUGGGAGGAAAAGCUAAUGGUUAAUAACCAUUAGCCCUGACGUUACCUUUAGAAGAAGCACCGGCUAACUCCGUGCCAGCAGCCGCGGUAAUACGGAGGGUGCAAGCGUUAAUCGGAAUUACUGGGCGUAUAGCGCGCGUAGGCGGUUUUUUAAGUCGGAUGUGAAAGCCCCGGGCUCA